rfam:Gossypium raimondii chromosome 4, whole genome shotgun sequence.
AAACCAUGCAUCGAGCAUUUUCUGAUUAACUCCUUGGAUCGCUCUCAUGCUUCAUAUAAUGUUUCGCCCUCAGAUUGCUGAAAGGACUUAAUAUCAUUCUUCAAUUU